UACAGAGGUCUCGAGCGUUGUUCGGAUUCAUUGGGCGUAAAGGGUGCGUAGGUGGCGCUGUAAGUCGGGUGUGAAAUCCUGAGGCUUAACCUCGGAACUGCAUUCGAUACUGCGGCGCUUGAGGACUGGAGAGGAGACUGGAAUUCCUGGUGUAGCGGUGAAAUGCGCAGAUAUCAGGAGGAACACCGGUGGCGAAGGCGGGUCUCUGGGCCGAUACUGACGCUGAGGAGCGGAAGCGUGGGGGAGCGAACAGG
rnacentral:rRNA from 1 species